UGCAUGUCUAAGUGCAAGCCAAAUUAAGGUGAAACCGCGAAAGGCUCAUUAUAUCAGUUAUGGUUCAAUAGAUCGUACUCAGUUACAUGGAUAACUGCGGAAAUACUGGAGCUAAUACAUGCCAACAGAGUCCCGACCGGUGACGGAAGGGACGCUUUUAUUAGAUCAAAACCAAUCGGUCGCUUCGGCGAUCGUGCAGUCUUGGUGACUCUGAAUAACUUUGGGCUGAUCGCACGGCCUCCGUGCCGGCGACGCAUCUUUCAAAUGUCUGCCUUAUCAACUGUCGAUGGUAGGUUCUGCGCCUACCAUGGUUGUAACGGGUAACGGGGAAUCAGGGUUCGAUUCCGGAGAGGGAGCCUGAGAAACGGCUACCACAUCCAAGGAAGGCAGCAGGCGCGCAAAUUACCCACUCCCGGCUCGGGGAGGUAGUGACGAAAGAUAACGAUACGGGACUCAUCCGAGGCCCCGUAAUCGGAAUGACUACACUUUAAAUCCUUUAAGGAGUAUCAAUGAGAGGGCAAGUCUGGUGCCAGCAGCCGCGGUAAUUCCAGCUCUCAUAGCGUAUAUUAAAGUUGUUGCGGUUAAAAAGCUCGUAGUUGGAUCUGUGUCCCGCACCGUCGGUACGCCGCCCGUCGGUGCUAACUGGCGUGCUGCGGGACGUCCUGCCGGUGGCGCGUCUAGCUGGUGGUGCUUUCGGGCGCCAUCGGGCGGCGCCGAUUCAAUCCCGCUGCGGUGCUCUUUACUGAGUGUCGAGGUGGGCCGGCACGUUUACUUUGAACAAAUUAGAGUGCUCAAAGCAGGCUGGAUACGCCUGGAUAAUUUUGCAUGGAAUAAUGGAAUAGGACCUCGGUUCUAUUUUGUUGGUUUUCGGAGCCAGAGGUAAUGA
rnacentral:rRNA from 1 species